rnacentral:misc_RNA from 1 species
AACUUUUGGCAAUGGAUCUCUUGGCUCUCGCAUCGAUGAAAAACGCAGCGAAAUGCGAUACGUAAUGUGAAUUGCAGAAUUCAGUGAAUCAUCGAAUCUUUGAACGCACCUUGCGCCCCUUGGAAUUCCGAGGGGCACACCCGUUUGAGUGUCGUGAACAUCCUUCAACCUUUCUUGGUUUCUUAACCGGGGAAGGCUUGGACUUUGGGGGUCUUUCAUUGCUGUCCUCUUUGAAGCCAGCUCCUCCUCAAUGGAUUCGCGUGGUCUGCUUUGCCGAUCCUCCACGUGAUUACAUGGUUCUACGUCUUGGGUUUCGCACUGUCGCUUUAGACUGCGCUUCUAACCGUCUUGCAUUCAAGACAGAGCCUUAAACCAGGAACGCAAACCGGGUGAGACUACCCGUUGAACUUAAGCAUAUCAAUAAGCGGAGUCU